AAAUGAACCAAGACAACAAAAUCUGCAAGUCGGGAAGCAAGACGCUCUGCUUCUGAGACGCUCCCGAACCAUGACGUUGGAAUC